AGAUCGUAUUUUUUCAGGGUCAGACUUUUGGCUUUGAUCUGGCAUUAGGGGCGUGGUAUCAACUGUGAGGGGCGUGAAAUAUGUGAGUGACAAGCAUAACAAAGAAGGCUGGGGACCUUCCCUACAGGAAACACAGGUAUGACAAGCCGAAUGAUCACUCAGGAUACCGCCCCCGUGUGACCUAUAGUACCAUAUACCUGCUGACAGGUGCCACUUUCAGCUUGAGUUGAUACUGCUGUUUACUUUAUACACCAACAUAACGUACCUUCAUUUGACUGUCGAGUGCACGGAACGAUAUGAUGGGUGUUAAAAGUUGUAAUCAACGACCUGUGAUAAAAGCUGCAGCUAACCUACAGCCUGCUGUGGUCUUCACCGAGUCGUCUUUGGUAAGGUCUCAACGGUACGGCAAGCUGUACAUGAAGAAGUCCAGGACCUGGAGGUUAUACACACUGAAGGUUGUCUGCCACGGACCGGAGCACUGACACCAGACAAUACCCGUCAAGAGCUAGAGGAGCAAGUCAGCAGAGGACUUGGUCACAUCUUAUAUGAUAUCCAAGACCAUCCUGGCUGUCUGCGCUGACCUUCCAAUAUAACAGUGGCGGGAUCCGCUGCCCCUGCCAGUGUGCAUUGAGGCCAACCAGGCUGCAGAAUCCAAUACCAUUGGGGACAUCAGGGAGAUGGGUGAUCGGGCAACUGGGAUUGCGGAUAUGGCAAGUGGAUGGCAACUAGGAGUCUGCUUUCUGUUGCCACUGGACCAUAUAAAGUUUUGAAGAGGAUUUACCGGGACUGCAGACAAGAGACCGGCGGCGGCGAUAUUGAGGUGAGUGCAAGGAGGGAAACUUGGGGGAUUAUGUGAGAAAUGUGCUUUUCCUGGGCAGCGGCUACAGAGACAAAACUGUGAGACAGCUAUGCUUCUUUUGAAGCUCCAACUGCAGGCAGUGGAUAUCAUCUCUGUGAAGUAAUCACAGUGAAUACACAUGUUUGCUGUGCACACACAGCCAUAGCAAUAGAUGUAACUCAUAAAAUAACACAAUUGAUAAAAAUAGGAGACUUAAAACAACAACAUUUUAAAUUUUAAUUCAAAAGCUGGAAAGAUCAUUGAAGAGGCUGAAAAAAAUCCCAAUAUGAGUCCUUAAUACAGAUUAAACAUGAAAAAAACUAGCAGAUUUGAGGUGAACACAUGAGGAGAGCAAAUCCUGCAAGGUUGGACAAGUGGGUCCAGGUGUU
rnacentral:lncRNA from 1 species